rnacentral:rRNA from 1 species
UACGGAGGGGGCGAGCGUUAUUCGGAAUUAUUGGGCGUAAAGGGCGCGUAGGCGGCUGAACAAGUCAAAGGUGAAAUCCCUCGGCUCAACUGAGGAACUGCCUUUGAAACUGUUCGGCUUGAGGCCGGGAGGGGGUAGCGGAAUUCCCAGUGUAGCGGUGAAAUUCGUAGAUAUGUGGAGGAACACCGAUGGCGAAGGCAGCCCCCUGGGUCAAAACUGACGCUCAUGCACGAAAGCGUGGGGAGCAAACAGG